UGCGGUCACAUUUGUCAUAGGCCAGCUUCAGCCGGAUGGUUCUCCGGAAGAAACCCUGUGGGAUGGACGCACGGUUGGGGAGGGGCUACGGUGGGCCGAUUCUACAUUCAAUGUUCAAGGCUAUGCUGGAAGGUUCAUCAGCACUCCCGGGAGCCACCGGGUAAGUGACCGACGAGGGGCUCGAAGCUGGUGAGAGGGUGUCUGAGAACAGAGGAGAAACACUGAUGAGCAUUCCAGACACCAUCAUCGAUUUCUAUACCAGGUUUACGAGGACAUGAUUGCAUGUGGGAGGUGCCGGCUAGUGGGCAGACUUCCCGGCCUGGGCUGGCCCCUGUCCUGGGCUGUCCCACCCCUGCCUGUGUGCCUCCAGUUACCAUUGUGGCAUCCCCAAACCUGCCGCUAGGCCGCCCCCGGGUUCUGGACCCACACACCCAGCUGUCUCCCCUCCCCCACCCCAGCUCGGCCUA